GGGCCUUGGACCUGUGCCCCGCCCAUGGAACAGCGCCUGGGCUCGGAGAGGCCCCGCGAGGCCGCAGGCGCAGACCCUCCCGGAGGGCUGGGCGGGCACCGGGGUCUUCGGCUGGCUUGAGGGACACGACCCCUGGGGGAGGAAUUUGGGGUCUGUGUGUCCGAAUGAACGCGGGGGUUCAGAUGAGUCUGUGGUGCCCCCGCUUUCCAUCUCCUCCGGCCCCGGCCCCAGAGGACUGAGAGGCCGGUGGCCGCGGAUCCUGGACGCGCCUCCCUCCUGCCUGUGGUUUCCCUUUAUUCCGGCAGCGGCGCGAGCCCACCGUUCACAUACAGGAGCUACAUCCAGAACCUUCUCCUGGGGCCACAGCGUGGGCUUCCGAGACUCUGCGUGACCCCAGCUCUGCCCCUUUGGGGCUGCGGGUGAAGCCCUCAGGACCCUCUGCGUGCGUUGGGCAGGUGCACACAUUGUCUGUCCAGAGAGGGCCAAGACACCCCAGGCACCCCUUUGCUCCAGGGGCUCAGGACACAGGCUCCCAGCUGAGGCCACGCCUGGACCCAGAGCUGAUGUUUGGCUGCACGCGAGCCCACUCGGGACAGACCCAAGAACACGAAUUCUGUCCCUCUGGAUUUAAGGCUGGUGUUUUUUGACAUUUACUUCAGUUUUUCUCUUUGAAAUUAAAAUUACCUGAGUAAAAGAUUUUAAGACAUUAAAAAAGCCAAAAACACAGAAUCCCUGCAGGCAGACGGUACCAGGGAGGUGGCGGCCAGGGCCAGGAUGCCAGGGGCACGGGGGGGUCGGCUGGAGCUCCAGGGCUGGGCCUUUCCCAGUCUCGCCUGCCCUGGAGCCCCCAGGAGCCGCCCCUGGGCCGACGCUCCUGUGGCCGGAGCACAGGAAGGCACAGUGAGGUAGGGACAGUGGCCAUUGUCCCCCGCCCGCCACCAGGGCUGAGAGGGCAGCGCACGCCUCGGCCCCUCCUACAAGCCCCUGCCCCCUCGGAGCUGGGUGUCUUGUCCAGAAGCCGGGGAACGGCCCCUGCAGUGUGGGAGGGGAGGGGCUGCCGGGAGGCCUGAGCUCAGACAGUUAAAUAAUCCUUUAUUUGGGUGGGCUGGGGGAGGGGUGACUGGCCCAGGAAGGCAGGCGAAGCCGGGCCCAGACCCCCAUGGGGGGUGGCAGGGGCCUCGGGCAGGCUAGGAUGCACCUGGCACCCAGAAGUGCCGCGGGGGCACUGGCUCCUCAGGGGCCCGAGCGGGCGGGGAGCAGUCUCCUACUUGUGCCGGG
rnacentral:lncRNA from 1 species